GGUGCUGACAUUGUUUCUGCUGGAUUCAGCCGGUCCGACGACUGACCGUCUGCAUGCCGAUCGCAAGACGGCGUGUAGAGUGUGCUCGGUCUAGGGCUGGUGCAUUUUCAGUAGAAUGCAUCAUGACCGCUAGCGCUGCUGGCAUAAGGCCCGUUGGUUGCCGUCUGCAGGUUUUCGGAUUUGCAGUGCCCCACCUUCGGUGUCCUGUCCGAGUUGGCGUUAGCGGAUAACUGGACGUGCCCGACUACGUCUCAUCUUGUGCUUUACGUUGGCUGAUCGAUCCGUGGGACCGUGCUUGCACGGUYCUGCAACCCCCAGUCUUCGUACUGUAUUCGAAUGAGGCGGCACUGAAGGUCUAUGGUGUCCGCGUCAGUCUCCCAACCGACCCGUCUUGAAACACGGACCAAGGAGUCUAACAUGUGCGCAAGUCAUGGGGUUGAAAACCCAAAGGCGUAAUGAAAGUAAAGGCCGCAAGGCUGAGGUGUGAUGGUCGGUUAUACCGACUCGCAACACCGCCCCAUCGCAUCGGCUUGUCCGGGCGGUGGAGGAAGAGCGUACACGUUGGGACCCGAAAGAUGGUGAACUAUGCCUGAGCAGGAUGAAGCCAGAGGAAACUCUGGUGGAGGUCCGUAGCGGUUCUGACGUGCAAAUCGAUCGUCAGACUUGGGUAUAGGGGCGAAAGACUAAUCGAACCAUCUAGUA
rnacentral:rRNA from 1 species